ensembl:snRNA U6 U6 spliceosomal RNA
UGAGACACCAUCUCAAAAAAAAAAAGAAAAAUACAGAAAAGAUUAGUAUGGCCGCUGUCCAAGGAUGACACACAAAUUUAUAAAGUAUUCCAUAGUUUU